UUCAAUUAUACUCCCUUGUGCUUUUAUCUACAAUGUACACAUUUAUGAAACAGCAUAUGUUUACAUUUACAUUUGUCCCACCAUUAUUACCUACAGAAAAUUAUAACAGAAAUUAGCAUUGGUUAAAAAAAACUAGUCUCUUUUAAUAAAACUCUAUUCCUCUGUAAUAGCAUAGCUUUCUGCUGAUAUUACUAGAACAACAUAAACACACACAUACAGUACAUGGCUCCAGUUGGCAGCCAUUAAAUUGGAUCAUUGGGAGGGCAAAGUGAUAUGGAAGCAAUAUUCUGUCCAACACAAUCCACAACGAGCAGAGGUGAGAGGGUGGUGGAAGUGAUGGGGAGAGGACAGGCAGUUUGAAAUACCCUCACAAUAUGCUUUUUGAUUGUAGUUUGUGCCUGAGAAUGGAACAUGUUUUGACUAUUUUCUGAAGAAUUUGCAUCACUUCUUUGCAGCUAUUACAUUUAAAAGAGACACUUUAAUUCAGCAGCAACUUGAGUAUGGCAUGAACCAUGCACAUA